rfam:Triticum aestivum genome assembly, contig: Triticum_aestivum_CS42_TGACv1_scaffold_306257_4AS
AUGCUACUCCCUCCGUCCGAAAAAGCUUGUCCCUCAAAUGAAUGUAUUUAGUCCCAAGUUAGUGCUAGAUACAUCCAUUUGAGACACAAGGUUGGGACAAGUUUUUUCGGACGGAGGAAGUACCAU